AGCUCACAGGCUCUUUGGAAUUGUUUUUGGACCUUUAUUUUAAGAAUGAGGAGGAAACAAACAUCGAAAGUAUGUUUGCGUUAUGCCAAGACUAAUUUUUUUUUAAAGAAAAUGGGAAUAAACACUGGAUACUUACUUAAACUUUGCAGUGGAGAAUAAAACAUACUCAAAAAGAAACUAAGACACUUGGGAAGGAAGAUGAAGGUUCAUAUGUGUAGAAUACUAAAAUGGAUUUAAUCACGUUUCUAAUGUAUAAAGAUUUGUAUAAACCAUUAGCCAGGUUUAUAUCUUAUAUUUCAGAGUUCUGGUGUCAUUUAUUACUUUGAUGAUCACUUUUAUGACACACAAGAGAAAAACACAAAAUAAACUAAAAAUAAACCCCUAGUUUUCAGGCAUGAUUAGUGAACAAAAAUAGCUAACUUUUGUUCAGGUUUCUGAUUUAUUUAUAUAAUUCUCUACUUCAUAGAAAAAACAUUUUGGUGACUUUCUUAUUGCUCGAAAGGAUAGAAAAGCAUAAAUAGAUUUUUUUGUCUUCUCAGAAAAUUUUGUAUUUUAUCCUCGAAGAUAGUGCUUUCUCAAGGGUAAUGCAUCAUUUGAUGUUGAAAUAUGUGCCAAGAUCUGUAUAAAAAAGCAUUUUGUGUAGAUAAAUAAGAAGUAAUUCAGUCUUUCAGGAAAACCCGUGGAGCUGGUCGCUAAUGCCAAGCGGAGUAGAAAGGCUGUGAUUUUGCCAGCUGUGCUCCUGAUGCAGUGCCUUGCAGGCCGAGGCAGGGUUGGCAUGAACGGGGAGCACAUGCAGCAGCCUAAAAUCAUUGGCUUUAGAUCAUAGCAUAAGUCUCUCCCUGUAGUGAGUUUUGGUUAAUAAUUAUUGAUCUAAUUAUCUGUGUUUUCUGUUUCUCAGGGAAUUCUGCUUUUCUUGGACAUUGUUUAAAUUCUCUGUAGGAUUACCUUUACCAAGUUGGAGACUGAAGGGAAGAGGCCAAAGGUUAUGAGUGGAAAUUAAAGAAAAAUGGAAAACAGAUGUGAGGAAGCUCACUAUAGGAAUGGAAACACAAGCAGCACUGAAUAUUGUUAAAGAAAAAAAAAAGAUUACUGUUUUAAAAAAAUCCAGUCAGUGAAGAGCUUAUGAAAGUACUAUUUUCAUAAUGAAUGUAAUUUUACAUGAAAAAUAAUCAAGCAGACAAACAAAUAAAGAAAGGUGAAACCUUCUGGCAAACAUCUGAAGUUUCUGCAUGCGGGAGAAGGGCGUGAAGGAAAAACCAAGUCCUGGGCUCAGCCUGGAUGAUGAUUACAACUGAGACACAAAAACAUCUGCUGGGUUAAAGGCUCCAGCUGUUGGCCAUGCAGAGCAAUCACACUCAAAGCUCUCGGUCAGGAAAUUAAGAAGACUGUGGUGUCACUGGAUCAAACUGUGAAGAAUUCUGGAAAGACUAAAUAUUGCUAUCCACACUGACGUUUGACCACUACAAAGGACAUAAUAAAAUAUACUUGUUUCA